UACAGAGGGUGCGAGCGUUGUCCGGAAUCACUGGGCGUAAAGAGCUCGUAGGCGGUCUGUCGCGUCUGCUGUGAAAUCCCGAGGCUCAACCUCGGGCCUGCAGUGGGUACGGGCAGACUAGAGUGCGGUAGGGGAGAUUGGAAUUCCUGGUGUAGCGGUGGAAUGCGCAGAUAUCAGGAGGAACACCGAUGGCGAAGGCAGAUCUCUGGGCCGUAACUGACGCUGAGGAGCGAAAGCGUGGGGAGCGAACAGG
rnacentral:rRNA from 1 species